GUGCUUUGGCAGCACAUAUACUAAAAUUGGAACGAUGCAGAGAAGAUUAGCAUGGCCCCUGCACAAGGAUGACACACAAAUUCAUGAAGCGUUCUGUAUUUUU
ensembl:snRNA U6 U6 spliceosomal RNA